AGACAACAUGUGGGAGCGCAAGAGGGCCCUGCAGAUCUGCUCCCAGCUGCUGGCUGCUUGUGAAGAGCUUCGAAGAGGAGAUGCCUGCAAGCACUUUGGCUCCUUGGUGGGAUUGCUGGCGCCUCUGACGUGUGACCCCAUGCCCACAUCCCGCCAGCUGGCUGUCACCUGUCUGAGCUCCCUUCUCCGAAUCCAAGCCAAGGCGACCAAUGGAGUCAUCAAGAUGGGUGACAUCGGGAGCCUGUGUGAGGGGCUGAAUGACCACAGCACCGUCUGUCAGCUCCAGACCUCUUCCAAAAUUGCGCGGAUUGUGUACAGGAACUUCCCCCUGGAAGACACCAUCGACUUCAUGAUGGCCAUCAAGGAUGCCUUCCGGAAGGCCAAAGGAAUGCGUGUGCGUGCCGCUGGGAGGUGGAUGAUCACCUUUCUGCAGAUGUACGGAAAGGACAUCUGUCAGGACGUGCCACUCACCAACUAUAUCCUGCGCAGCUGCACGUCGUUUCCGCAGCACAGCACGUUCAUGCCAUUCCUGUCCCAGGCGGUGGUCAUCCUCACCCGCUGUCAGGCAGACGUCACGACUGACAGCUUCUUUCCGGCUGCUUGGAGCCCACAGACAGUGAGACAUGGAGGAGAAUAAGAGAAUUUUGUCUUCAAUGGUGGAGCCGGGAGAAGAAAAAAAGAGGAAAGCGAAGGAAAGGAAAGGAAAAAGGAAAAAGGAAAAAAGAAAAAAGGAACAGGAGGAAAAGAAGAGAGGAGAGGCAGAGGGAGAGGGGGAGGGAAAGGGGAGCAAAAGGACUGGGAAGGAUAAAGGGAAUAAGAAAGGGA
ensembl:lncRNA